AAGUCGUAACAAGGUAACCGUAGGUGAACCUGCGGUUGGAUCAUUAAAAAUGAAUAAAGAGUUUGACCAAAAAUUAGGCUCUUUUUUACAUUUGUGAAUUGUUUAUUGUCUCUUGCUCAUUUUAAUUAAUGGGCAAAAACUCUUAUAACCUAGUAUUGAAAAUUGACUUUGUUGAAUUAAUUAAAUUUAAAACAACUUUUGACAACGGAUCUCUAGGCUCUC
rnacentral:misc_RNA from 1 species